CUGGAGAGUUCCUGAGUACUACACUCCCACAAGCCUCUUCUGAUUGGAGCUUGGUGCAGCAGCAGCAGCAGCAGCACAGUAUCGUGGGUUCUCUCUGGAGGAGGAAGAACGUCAUCAGGACGCUUUCAUGACACUGGCACUGAGAUGUGGAUCUCACAGGAACAACAUCCAGCCAAACUGGGUCAGCUGUGGGCGCAAGCACGUGUCUGAGCGUGUGUAUCUGUGCAUCAUCUCUCAAGUGGAUUUGCAGAUUGAAGCUGGGCUUGGAAGCCUGCACAUUUGGAAGGAUGCUCUUUUGGCAGUGUGUGUGAGGGAGUGGAUAAGAGAGGGAAUGAGCUUCUGUGUGUUUACAGAGGCAUGGCCUUGGUACCUGUCAGUCCCAGUGAAGGAGGUGUGGCCUCUGUACCUGUCAGUCCCAGUGAAAGAGGCGUGGCUUUUGUGCCCAUCAGUCCCCCCUACACAAAUGCAUAUCCAACCUGCCUUUCUCAUAUCAAAGUGUAAACUGCAGCUCAUAUUUGUAAAAAUGAUAUUGUGUUAUUGUUAAAAGGCAAAUAUUUAGAAGUAUAAAAAGGCAUCUCCUUCCCUAAUCCAACAUUUAACCACAAAAAAAAAAAAAAUUGUAUUUUUGUAUAAUACUUGUACACAAGUCUCCUCAUGAGUUGGAAUUAACUCAUUAGAAUGUUGCCAUGAUAAUAUUUGUAAUUUAAUGUGUAGGAAGAACGAUAUAUGCUUUUUUAAAAUUUCAUACAUUUCAGUUCCUCAGUCCUUUUUUCAUCAUGAUAUACUGAAUAAAUUUUUAAUUAUUUACACAACUCAAUUCAAAUGAAGAGUUAUGAACGUUAAAAUUAGGACUGGGGUGUGGUUAGCAUUCAAAUGUUUUCUUACGAUUUUAUUAAUGAAAUAUAAUCAUAAAACACAGAGCUCUUAUCUAAUUAAAUGUGGAUUCAUUUUUCAUGAGAUCAGGGUCGAUAUAUCUAAACCAUGUGCUAAACUAGCUUACACAGGUAAAGUGUGCACGAUAGGCAGGCAGAACAUGCAAAUGUUUUAACAGGAUAUUGGGGCCAGGGAUUAUUUUUGGUUCUCUCUCUCACUCUCUCCUUCUGUCAAAUACCCAAACUUGCAGAACUACACCUGCUAUCUCAAAACUACUGGCACAAUCUCCACCACCAGUGCACCAGCAACUCAGGUGGAGUGUGAGGUCUGGUUUGAAAAUGUAGUUUCCUGUAAAUGUAUUCCUUAUCGCACCUCUGCCUGUUUCAGACACUUCAAGUUUGAGAGCAGGCUAUUAGCUUGUUAGUGAAUACACACACGCGCGCGCACACACACACACACACACACACACACACACACACACACACACACACACACACACACACACACACACACGGUCCCAUUAUCUCAGGUUGUUUUGAGUUUGGAGUGUGGGGCACGAGGAUUAAGUCGGAUCCAUAACUCUGAAUAGAGGCAGGUUGUGUGUGUCUCUCUCUCGCUCCCCUACAGAAUUAAUUACCUUAAUUAAACUGCAUAAUUGCAUGUAUUAAAACAGUGGUUUGAGAAGGUGACAGAGAUUUGAGGAGGACCAGCCCAGGCCAGGCAGACAGAGUGGUGUGACAGGCACUUCAGUGUUAAUAAACAUGUUAUAAAUCAGCACAUUGUUCUGGAUGAUGUGUAAUUAAAAACCUGCUUAAAUGGCAUUUUAAGCAGGAACACUGGGUAAUGUACGCUACGAUCCCAGCUUCCUAAUCUGUGCAAGUUGAUCUAAAUCCUCGCAGGCUGUAGUCCUGUUACGUGUUAUUCUAGAACCCUAAGCCCUGAAGCGGAACCCAAAUCGACCUAUCACAGCGGCAAAAGCUGGUCCACUUACAUUACAAGGCUGAUAAUAUCAUCAAGGCGAUCAGUUACCCACAAACACCACUUCCCAAAACUCCAACAUGGUUUUUGCAUUCUCAACAACGAUUAAAAUCUUGGAAUCGUAUGACAGCAUGCAACAAAUUAUUCGUUUGGCAUUGUGCAUGCUAUCAAACAAUAAAAAAGGCAAGAAGAAAAGAAAGAAAGCGUGGGACAGAGAAGGACUGGGUUGGGGGGGGGUGGAAUAAAAACUGAGGCUCAGACAAAUAUCUUCUUGUAUUGUAUUGGAUGUCCCAAAAAAUUUGAUUUAUAAAAGAAAGAAGGCACAGAUGUGCUAGAGCAGAGAACUCACACUCAGAUCACCAGGGAAGACAAAAUCAAAUUGAAGCGCCAAUUUAAUGAAAUUCAAAAGU